UCGGGAUAGCUCASCUGGUAAAGCAAAGGACUGAAA
rnacentral:tRNA from 1 species